ACCCUACUGGUGUAUCGGUUAACAUGGCGGAUUCUCAUCAUUCCAAAAUGAAGCUUCCGCAGCGCAGGGUUCAAUUCCCUGGUAGGGUA